rnacentral:ribozyme from 1 species
GUUACUUUAGUCUGUGAAGAUAGAAGUAGCCGUCUUUACUGUGAGAAUCAGUGACAAACAUGUGGGGCUUAUAUCUAAUCAUUUUAGAGGGCAGUAUUACUGUCGUCUGAAGGUAGGUGGAGGAGAUUAGUAUUAGUGCAGACGUUAAAACCAUGU